AAAUAUAUUAAAGCGCCAGAGCUAAGCAGGGAGCCUGAAUCAAAGAUUGUCUUAUAGGAAACUCAAACUAAGGUCUGAGUAAGCUCGAAUAAGCCAAAUUAGCACUCUGUGUAAGUGACUUGCACCAAAUCAUAGAUUUGGGCAAUCUACUUAAGAUUUGGAUUCUCGCUUAGCUGACGAGGGUGGGGAGUAUCGAAAAUUCGGCGGAUGCCCCACGGUAUAGUGCUACCGAUAAAGACUGGCAAAACUGAAAAGUAAUUUUCAGUACAAAUUCAGUCAGGCACUCACA
rnacentral:ncRNA from 2 species